UUUUUUUUUUUCCCCUUUCCUUCUAGUUGGGGCCAAGCAAUGUGCUAAGCAUUUCCUUCUGGAAGGAAAUCUCCAACAAGUUUGCCUCUUUAUUUUUAGGUGAUGCAGAAAACCAGAUGUUUAUUUAAUUAAAUCCACUCUCAUACACUGCAUUCAGAGAUUUUCUUCUUGUUAGGAAUCAUUCAGAAAAGCUCUAAAACAUGCUCUUAUACAUUAUUUUUACCAUUUCAAGGACUAACCAUAUAGUAUGUUUGAAAAAGGAUGCACAUAUUAAGAUCAGGGCAAUUUUGCCAGAUUGGGCACCCUGUGGUUGCCAUGUGAUAACAUCAAACCUGAUCAGCUAAACCACAAUAAACACAAUUGCACUGAAAAAAUUCUAUUAUUUUAAGACAAUGGCACUUUUACAGAGAUCAAGCACAAGUGAAAUCCUAAGAUUAAAUUUGGAGAAUAAGAAAAACCAAACAAACAAGGCUGGAAGGAAAUUACUAUAUUAUGGUUCACAGAAUACAUUCUGAAUACAGACAGCAUAAGUCUAUGUUUCACACACUUCUGUCUAUACUGUUACCCUUUCUUAUUGUUACUUUUGUUCAUUAAUAUACUUAUUUCCAACAGCAAACAUAUUUAUUACUUCAUGUUUUACUAACGAUUCAGAAGAAACUGAAUAUAGAAAAGUGGAUUCCCUUUUCAGAGAUGUGGGAACAAUCAGUUCUUAACCAACUUAUAUGACUAAUAACGCACUGAGUAAUGCUGUAACUUUACACUUGAGUGUAUCAAGAUGGAUUUGACAAGUAUCUAUAAGACUCAGGCAAUGAAAGCAAGUAGAAGAAUCUUAAUCAUUACAGAACAAUAGAAAACUUACUUGAAAGUUGAAAAUAGUAGAGUCAGUUAUAGGCAAUAAGUAUUAUUCAACAAAUUUCCUUGCCAUGUAAUAUUUAGCAAUGUUAACACUUGCUAUUGCUUCUAUCACGAAGUUAUUGUACAAGCAUGUCUAAUGCAUUUUAACGUUCACAUACCCUAAUCUUUCCAAGUUACUGCUGAUGACAGUAAGUUCAAGCUAAUAACAAAAAGAAACUUACUUUCACCUAGUCUAAAUAAGCAGCUGUUAAGGUAUUUGCUUCUUUUGGAAAGUGUUAGGUCAACUAGACCUCCUCCCAAUUACAGUGUUUAGAGGUUUACUUUAUUUAAGUAGUCCUGUGUGUUAUGUUCAAUACUGACUUAUUAAAAAAUUAUUUACAUUGCUUGCUUUGUAUUUCUUAUAUAUGAACUUCACUCCCACCUCAGUGUGAGCAGCUCAGAUGUUUCAAUACAAAACACCUAAGGCAAAUCAAAGAUGCACAAAUAUCCACAUUUAUCUUUCUGUAUAAGCUAAUUAUAGUGCUCAAAAUAAUACAACAGGAAGAUUGUGGUGCUACAACUACUUGAUCUUGCAGUUGUCUAAGGGAGAUGGUGGCUCUUCUGGAUACUAUUGAAAACACUAGCUCAGAAAUAGACCUAUGGUUUCUUCACAGAACUAAAGUAUUAAAGCUCUUCCAUUUGAAAACUGAAAUAAAUAAAUAAAACCAAAACCAAGUCUCACACAGAUUCUCUUGAACAUGUUAGUUUAGCUCAGCCAACAGUAAGGGACUACCUGCAAGCUGACAAACACUUACGGACUCAGUGCUUAAUCAAAAAUAAAUAAUCAAAAUUUUUUUUUCAAGCACACAAUGCUGUUAGGCAGGCACUGACAGCAGUAAAAUCAGGGCAGCAGUUAAAUUAGGAUUUAUAGAUGUGCAUGCGUGCACACAUACAUGUUGAUGUAAAUGAUCAAUAUUCCAAGUCAAACACCAAACACCGCCCUCUCUCCUGGAAGUCUGCUGUUUUAUACAGUGGUGCUCAGUCACGGACAACACAGAAUUUACAGAGUAGAACCCAAAUGAAAGCUGUGUUUGACAGAAUUGAGGAGCUGACAGUACCUCAGGAUCACAAAAACAGUGCAAUACAUGCUUGUUGAAAACUGUUAUUCCCUCCUUUAUAUACAAAGCAACAAAUCUGCAACAGUACCUCCCAUCCUUCCACAUGAGACUGCCAUUCUUCCAAAAACUCUAGUUUUUCCAUUUGUCUCUUCGCUUCAUUUAUGUUGGAACAGACAGCUUUCAUGGCCUGGAGGGCUUCCAUUAGUGCCGCAUAGUCACUGUGCUUCCUUGGAGUCCGCUUCAGUAACUCCUAUUUAGACAUUUAAAAAAAAAAAAAAAAGAAAAAAGAAACCUGUCUUUGAUCUCUACAUGUACAUUACAGGAGGCUUAAAUUGCCUAGGAUACAAAAUCAAGAAGUAGCCAGACUAUUCUACUAAGUGGAAAAAUAAUAAACCCUCCAGCAUUGUGUCCUAGUAGGACCGUAAAACUCAGAGAAAUAAAUUACUACAGUAAAAAUAAUCAGUACUUAGAAAUUAGUACUUAGUUUCUUUUUCAACUACUUUCUCACCCCAGCAACAUUUCUUCAUGUUGAGCUUCAGGUUGGGGUUUGAUUUUUUUGUUGGGUUUUUUUAUAUGCCACAGGAUAGAACUGUUCAACAAUAACAGUAACAAUUCUGCUUAAAAAUGUUAGUUUAUUCAUGUCAAAGUUAGCACCUUCCUCUCCUGCAACUCUGGGUAAAAUCCACGUUUCUUUAGCUCCACACUAUUGUUUAAUCUAGUGCAAUAUACCAGAGCACUGAACAAUAGCUUAAGUGACUCACUGAUUUCAGGUGGUUACUGGUAAUGGCAGCCACACUAAAACACAGAAGUGGAGUUGCCAGUAUUCAUUUGAGAUUUCCCAUCUCAAACUACCAACCACCCGUUUACAGAUGGACUAUGUAUGUAUGCCUUCAGCACAUACCCUGACUGAGACAUGGGUACAUUCCUCUGGAGCCCUAACCCUGCUGCCACCACACCCUGUAUUUAAAUUUGUUUAACAUAAAUAUAUUCAUUUCAUUGUCCCCUAGAGUAAUUCAUUAGUCAUCUUCCCCUGUUUGUCUGUAGAUCCUUCAUUCAAAAAAUAGAAUAUAAAAAUAAUUUUAAAAUAGGCCGAGGGAUCUGAAAAACCACAGAUACCUGGGAUGAAUCAAACGUCACUGCAAUUAUCAUAUUCUUUAACUUGUUUUAAAAACCUUUAUUUGAACAUGUUUACUUUUAGGUUUUUAUGCCAGUGCAAUGAAAUGCAUAUGGCUCUUAAUUGGAAUUGUUUCAGAUCUAAACUCCCACACGCAUUGUGAAAAACACUGCCCAAUAACAAGGUUUCAAGUAGGUUCUAGAGCAAAACCUGCUGUGUCUUUUCUUUCAUGGUUUGAAACAAUCAACAACAUUAGGCCUCAAUUUGUUAAGCAAAAAAUUGUUUUAAAUAUUUACUUUUAUGAUGAUUGUAUUAUUUUGUUUCCUAACUGGAAAAAAAUCAGUAACUCAGUUUUGAAUAUCUAAUGAUUAUCAGCACAUUCAACAUCUUUCAUUAAGUUUUAAAUUGUAAGAGUAAUAAAAGAAUAAACAUAGAAAUGCGCAUGGAACCACCUACAGCAUCUUACCAUUACUAUAGAGCUUUCUUACAAAUCAUUUUCAAAAAUAUUUUUCAUUUACAGUUUGCUGAUGGUAAAUUAGAAUCAUUAAAGCAUGUCACUAACAACUCUGCUAGCCCAAGCAUUUCAAGCAAGGGCAUGGUCAAACCCAGCUGAAAUCAGUCUCAUUAAACUCCCUUUAAAUGGCUCACUUCUGUUCAACAAUGGACAGGCAACUUUACAACUAGAUGCAGAAGGAAGUUAAUCAUCUUGACCCAGCCAAAUUCCUCAGUUCUUUUAAUACUGAUGUCAGAACACUUGCCACUAGCUUUAAUGAGAGCAUGUCUGGGUCCAAUAUCUAAUAAAGAGAUUAUUCACUGUGUAGAGAGAUUGUUCCUGCUGUACAGAAAUAUGCUUAGCAACCAGUUUUGUACAGAAAGUUUAAAGUCCUAGAUAAAAAAAUCUUGAAAGUACCUUCAAAAGAAGGGGAUACUUGCAUAUUCUCUGUAUCGGUGUUACCAGAUAUCCCUCCAAUGGUACAUCUGUGCUCUUGCGUCCUCCAAGCAGCAUGCAAUUCUAAAGUGUGAACAGUUUCAUAAAUUACUAAAAAAAACUGAGAAAAUUAUCAGAAAUAAAGACAAGGGCAUAUGUACACAGCAAUAUUGGCUAAGCUGUAUGUAAUAAGGGAGGUUUGCAAGACUGUCAAAAGAACAGGCUUGAACACAUGCGCAGGCACAUACAUUGACAAUCAUACAUGACAACAAAGCCACAAUGGAAUUAGGCAGGCAUCUCCCCUAGGUACUUUCUUCACCCAGUCUGAUUAAGAGAGGGCGCUUUUUUAAGUUUAAAAAUAAAAGACGGUGAAUAAAAUGCCAAAAAUAUGCUUUCAUACUUCAACAAACAAAAAUAAAAAUCAUUUAGGGUGACCACUCCAGGUGCUGUUGCUUGUAAAAGGUGGGCUCGUAAUAUUAAGUAGCAUCAAAGAAGGUGUGGAAGGCUUGAACCUGGCCAUCCUUACACACCCCCCAAAAAAGUGUUCUGUUUACAUGCUUCUAUAGUUAAACGCGAUGGGCAAUGAACAAAAUAUCCUUAGUCAUGGGCUAAAAUAUAUGUAAAUUUUCACAAGUCACCCAACUAUAGAAGCAGGGAAUACAUGAAAUAUUGUGUGGAAGCACCCAUGAAAAAGCAGCAGAGAGAAAGAAAGAAAAGAAUAAGGACUAUCUGGGAUAACAAAGCGUGCAAGGGACAUUACAGCAAAUACUUGGAAUUGCUGUAAUUAAAGUGUAAGUACAUAAAGACCUAAAGUAAUGAUGAAAAUUAUUUUACUGAGAGAUCAGAAGGAAUUGUGAUGCAAUGGUAUGAGAUAAUCUACAACUUCAAAGUGCAAGAUGUCUAAACUGAGACAUCAACUACUAAACAAAAGUAAUUUAACACAGCCAGAUGGUGUGUUUACACAGGCCACAAACGUGGAUGCAGACAUACUGCUGAUAGAACAGGGGCUACAAAACUGGGUGGCUGUUCCACUAAGCAUGUAACUCUCAACAUACAUAGCCCAUAACCAGUGCUGCUAUGGGGAUUUCUACACCCACCCUUGAGUCUCUGCUUUGUACUCACAGUUAACCAGCUUCUGUCUUAUCCUAAAGGAUCCUUUAUCCUAAAGAAUCUCACUUAACCUGCCAACAAAAAAGCUUUACUGAUAAAAGACUGAGCAAGAUAAUGGCAAUGCAGACUACAGGUUUACAUAAUGACUGUCUCUAUAGUUAAAGGCUAAGAAGUCUAGUUUCAGCUUUCCAUUAUUUAUAGAUAAUGACAUCUCUAAUGACCUGAACUGUUCUAUCUGGCUAGAAAGCUUCAACUGUACUUUCAUCACACAGUCAGACCUCCUGUUCUCUAGGUUAAGACUGCUGCCACUUAUGCUUUAGUCAUGUCUUGAAUCCAUGAGAAACCCAAAGCAGAUGUGAAAGCCCUGUGCAUGUGCCCAGGAGUACACAACACUGACACAUCAUGAACUGCCACAACUGCACACUUCCCUUCUCACAAAACAUGCUUUUUGCAAUCUUUCUCUGGAGUAUUUUGCUUUUUGUCUCUGUAGUCAGCAUUGACCCCUUCUUCUUGAGACUGGCCAGGCUGCUCCCAAUACAAGAACCAUGUAUGUGAAGCUCCUCAAUCUGAGGCAAGGUGAAGGACACUGUGUCAACCACAAAAUAGGACAACCCUGAAACUGUUUUUAGCUAUGAAUGGAACACUGCUGAGUAAGAGACUCUUAGAAAAAAGGCAGAUGGCGUUUCAUGUCACCCACUACUCUCCUACAAUAAGGAAAUCCACACACUCCUGAUUAACUUGGCUGUAAGUAAAUGUAACUUGGGAUUUCAAAAAUGUAGUGACCUGCAAUACAUCAACUUCACCAAGAGCUCUGUCAGCAGUAGUGAAAGCCUACUGCAUGCUAAAAAUAAUUAAGAAAAUUAAGUAAACCUCGUGAUACUGCCACCGCUAGCAUCAUCUUUUUUUCCACUGUAUCUGUGAUGCUUUUCUGAUAGUGUCAUUUGCUCUCCAGUCCCAAAAUGAAAGAAUUGGAUCAAGGCACACUGCCUAAUGCUUUAUUAUGCAUGGAUCCAAAGCAGUAGUGAAAAUACAAUGUACACAACCCCUUCCUCUGGAAACACCACCCCUAGCUGAAACUGCCCACUAACCACUUGCAGGAGUGCUUGUUACAUGAAGGAUGUGACAGCACUAAUAAUUCCCUGCCCAAUCAAAAAUAUUAAGUUAGAACACCAGUUAAAAGUUUAUUUACCAAAAGAAGGGUCCGCACUGUUCUUAUUUUGUUAAGGUCAAGGAGAACCUUCUGUGCCUUCUCGUGGUUACUGCAGUACUCAUCAUAAAUACGGAAUUUCUCUUUCUGCAGAAACAAAGAAAUACAUGGUUCUUCACUUGCCAUUUUGAGCCUUUUUUUAAUUAAUAAAACAUGAACACUUUUCAAAACUGAAUAGCUAAUACAGUUUUCAUUUUGGAAGGUCAGCUCUUUCUAUGUUUAUUAUUUGAGGUCCAGCCUCAAAUUAGAAUUAUGAACAGUCUGGAAGCAUCACUUGGGAAUUUCAAUCAUAGAACACCAGGUUCAAAGAGACCUCAGGGACCAUUUAGUCCAACCUUUCUUGGCAAAAGCAUCGUCUAGACAAGAUAGCCCAGCACCAUGCCCAGCCAAAUCUUAAAGUGUCCAAUGCUGGGGAAUCCACUGC
ensembl:lncRNA